rnacentral:rRNA from 1 species
AAACAUCUCUUUUUGAAUAUAAUUUAAAGUAGGGCCCGCCCCCUGAAUUUUGAAGGGCCGCAGUAUUUUGACUGUGCAAAGGUAGCAUAAUCAUUAGUUUUUUAAUUGAAAGCUUGUAUGAAUGGUUUGAUGAGAAAAUAGCUUUCUAUAAUUAAUUUUUAGAAAAAAUUUAUUUUUAAGUUAAAAAGCUUAAAUAUUUUUAAUAGACGAGAAGCCCCCAUAGAGUUUUAUCAUAAAUAAUUAUUUAUAAAUUUUAGAAUUUUAAAUUUAAUUUUUUUUUUAUAAUUUGAUUGGGGUGAUUAAAAAAUUAAUAUAACUUUUUUUUUAUAAUACCAUUAGUUUAUGAUUAGAUGAUCCAUAUAAAUGAUUAAAAGAUUAAAUUACCUUAGGGAUAACAGCGUUAUUUUUUUUUAGAGUUCAAAUCGAAAAAAGAGAUUGCGACCUCGAUGUUGGAUUAAAGUUAAUAUUUGG